rnacentral:lncRNA from 1 species
AGAUAUCAACUCUCCCAAACUCGUUCUUUUACUUGUCCACAAGUGAACUUUCUAGAACUCAUAGGGAGAGAGGUUUGAAGGUGGGAGCUCAUAGCCAAAAGAAACACAACUAGCACUCGAUUCAACAUCUAAUCCAACAUGAGCACACUCUCUUAUUACACUCUAGCUUCUCUAGGCCUGUCUCAACUCCUUUUGCCCUUAUACUCAUCAUCAAGCAU